CUGGUGUCUGUGUCAGGUGCCUGGAAGGAUGCUGGUAGCGUAAGGGCUGUGCCGUAUCCUAGAAGGCAACUUCCUAGUGGAGCAAGACCUCAGACAAAGCGGAUUGAUACAUUUUACCUCGUGGAAGUAUUAUGAGCGGGUGUCCUUUCUUUCCGGUGCUCCGUCUCUCCUUGGAUAGUAUGCUGCCACACCGACAGGGGGAGCAUGAUGCAGAUCAAACGAGUGAAACUGGAAACAUGCAGUUCAGUGGCAGUGUUCCACACCGACUGUAUCCCUGUGUUCUGACAUCCCGCUGCAUGAUCGAGAAGAAGGGAAGAAGAAGGAGGACCGCUGAUGAGAGUUCUGCUAGCGCCGAAGGCACAGGCAUGGAAAGGGAUGGAUCUUCUACGGACGCUACAAAACUAAGUGACAGAGAUCCGAGGGUUACUUGCAGCUGACCCUCUGGUUCAUACCUGUUCUUGUCUGUUUGCUAGACAACUCGGAUACGAAGACAGCGGCGCUGCCGACAGGGCGCCAGGGACCUUGGUCCGCACUUCGUCAGUAUGCGACGUGAUCAGUACCGGCAUCUCGACACGAACUGCGGAUGUACAGGUAACAAAAUAUGUUGGCCACGUUAACUAUUCUUGUGGCUCUUGUGUCGUCUCCUUGCGCAGCUACGCAGUGAGGCUACAGUGGUGAAUAAGCAGACAGGAAGAUGCGCUGACAUCAUGCUGCUGCAGUAGCGGCCCUCCCUUCUCUCUGCCUAAGCUGAGAAACUGCAACCCAGGAACAAGAGACACCGUUGUGAUAAGGUGAAUGAGGGAAGACAACGACGGAUAGCAGCAACGUGUCACUGCAGAAGCAGGAAAGGGAAAACUGCGGAAGUGAGGAAAAAACACACCACAACACAGACUCGCGUGCAGCCGGUCCUUGGUCCCGCUCCACUGUGGACGUCAAGAACGAAGAUGACACGGUGAUAGCACGCUGGGGGUAGCACCGCUCAACUGGCUCUUGGUGUCCGACUCUAUUUUAAGGACUGAGGCAUCUUUGCGUCUCUUGCUGCAGCAGCUACUGCCACUGUCCUAUCUGGAGCUGAAUUUCUAAGCCACUGUUUUACAGCAGCGGACAUCCAGCUGUUAGUUUCCUCUCGAUCCACUGUCUAACGAACUUUUCUUAAGUACCAGAAGCUCAAGACGCGUCCAGUUGCAUGUGAGGGAUCGCCUGGCGAGGCCUUUUGUUCUGUGCACGCUCGGUGGUAGCCAGUUUUUGUUGAAUAUGUUGGGCAUUUGAUUGGCCAAUCCUGUCUCGGUAUAUCUUUUUUCGUGUGCUUUAAGCUACAAGCUCAUCAUCCUCGGGAUAUCAGAAAGCAUUCUGGGCAGCAGCUGUGCUGCGACUGGUAGGCCACCCAUCAGGCUGACAGUGAUUUGCAUGCCAGAAUCGAGGGUGACUGUCAAUUUCGUACUGGUUUUUUACCCCAUGAUGGUGUGCCCAGACACUCUAUGGUACACACACCAGGUGCGUAAUCCACACUAGCCAGAUUCCCUUUACGAAGCUUUGUGUAAAUGCACAACAUGCGUUUGCAGCCAAAACCGCACCGGCAUUGGACGUUCUACUCGUAUUUGACCACUCAUUAUCGCGCGAAGGUACCUGUAGCUGCCACAGCAGGGCCACCGACAGCAAAAUGCGUUCGACUACAGUUUCGGAACAAACACGAAGAUGCUGAAUGAUUUUGGAUUCUUGACUUCACUUAUCGUGGCUGGUUUGACUGCCAUGGGCACUGAAUCUGCACGCACCCCGACAGCCCAGUGGUCGCUUCCUUGUCAGUUUGGCACUGCGUUACUCAGAUCUGUAAUACCAUGGGUACAAAUGCGUUUCUGGGGGUGCUACAGCCAUUAUAAAUAUCCUCUCUCCAAUACCAUAUUUGGUAUCUUGGCUACUUGCAGGAUGUUAUCUCUCUUUUGCCACACUGAGACAAAUCGUUGCAUUAUAUAUUUACUUGCCUUUCAGAGGUUGUAUUACAGUUGUUUUACAUACCAUCUACUUCCAUCCAC
rnacentral:lncRNA from 1 species